CUAUUGUUUUGCCAGGGUAGUAUUUUUUUUUUGAUUGAAACCUAAAGAAUUUGGCGGCAUUUUAUCUUUUUAGAGGAACCUGUUUCGUGAAUGAUGUUACACGAUUGGCAUUACUUACUUUAUUUGUUUGUAUAUUUCCGUUAUCAGAAUAUUUAUAGAUAAUAUUUUCAUAAUUUUUUAUUAAAUUUUAUUUCAGGUCAAGGUGCAGCUUAUAGGUAAGAGUUUAAUGGGUUACAAUAAUUUAAUUUAUAUGGAUGUUUUUUUAAAUAUUAAAUUGAAGGUGGAUUUAUUAGUAAGUUUUUAUAAUUAUUAAAUCUGAAUUAGUAUUGAAUUGUGC
rnacentral:rRNA from 1 species